GUCAAGCUGCGCUUUUUCAUUUAUCCUGGAUAUCUUUAUUCUACUUUCGAGCAACAGGCCCCUGGUUUAAAUAUAUUUUCGGUUGAUGCCUUUACAAAUGUAAUGACGCACUUACGCCACAAGAGGGAGUAUCGUUAGGUGAGCGCUAGUUGGAACAACGGCUUCCGUCCCUCAGACAGAGGACAGCCUGCCGAACGGACGCUACUAAUGUGUCCUGUUGCUUUUUCCUGCAUCAAAACAGUUCCACCAAACAUCCUGUCAGGCAUGGAGGGGUCUCGGCAAACACCGGACCAUGUACACCAUCAAUGAUAAGGUGCAGGGCACACAUCGUCAGACCCAGUUAAAGAUUCAGCAGCAAGACACAAUCAAAGGUGGUGUCCUGUCACCAGUUUCACUAAACUGCUGGACCAGACUAUGUGCAAAUAUGGGCGUGUGCUAAUCCAUCUGAUCAAGAUUACGCAGGAGGGGCAUUAACAGCUCUGUCCCUACUGUGUCCUACAUAAAGAUGCCUGGAUCGACUAAAAAGUCCUGUAUCUCUUGCCCUACCAUGAUUGGCGUGGCAAGAAAGAAGUGCCACCUUUGUGGAAGAGAGCAGCCAUACAAGGCAAUUAAAAUGAAUAAGUUAAAAAAAAAUUGAAGAAAAACCACCAACAAAGGGCAAUGCCGUAAAGGCACUGGAUAGUGCCUUUAUUGAUUUACAUAAAUUGAAAGCAGUGGGGUUCUACCCCCUGCCGCUGGUGGCGAAGCAGAGGAACAAGAAAUUUAAGGCCCAGCUGCUCCACCUGGCAGCCAUCCAGGGAGACGAUGAAGGCCUUUGCAACAGUUAAAGUGGUCUUCGAGUCCGUCCUCAACUACUGUUCCUAUUGCCACCAGGAAAUCGUUGAUGGCAAUGUCCUUCGUGAAAGACAUCAAAAGGUUUGUAUAGGAGGGAAAAAUGAGUGCAUUACCAGUAGAUUGGCUAUUAUUUCAGUUAAAGUGGGGUAGCAUACUGGCUAAGGAACUAUGCUAGCAUUAAUUAACCAGAAAAGUUGUGGGUUCCAUUCCCAGUUGUCACUGUUGUGCCUUUGAACAGGACACUGAACUUCUACAGUAGUUGAUCUUGGGGAAGCUGGCCCUUGCAAUAAUUGACAUAUGGAAGUUGCUUUGGAGAAAAGUGCUACAUACAACUACAAAUUCAAUUCCAAGAAAUUACCACUGCAUGAAAAUGCAAAAAAAAAUAAAAAAAGUAAAAUAUAAUAUGAGUCAUUCCGUGUUAAAUCAGAUAAAAAUCCUUGAAAAUGUUUGGUGGACAAUCUCAGAUUUAGCUCAAAGUUUGUUAACCUAACAUUUAGGGCCCAAAACUAAGACCUGUUAAAUUCCAAUGUUUUCACCCUUGACUUUUAUCAUUUUUACAGUCUCUGAAAUGCCUUAUCUUUAACCUUCACAAACUUAUUAGGGUGGAACACAGACAUGUUCUUGGUAUGAUUGGACCGUUAUAAUGUUGUACUGCAUGCCAAUUAGUUUCAUAUAAGGGUCUGAUAUGGAAACAUGUAAAACUGGUGAUAUUGAGGGCCUUGUGAUUUAAUUUUGCAGAACUUAAGUCAAUGAACAGCAUUCAUACAUAGGUGUUGCUAUUGUCAAGGUGGGACAAGGCAGAGUGAAUUGUCAUAGAGUGCUUUGGCACCAGCACUAUGGAGGUUUUAAAGCACGCUGGGACAACUGCCUGGGCUAUUGACAGAUUAAAUAUGUCAGUCCAAACCUCAGUCAACUGCUCAGCACAGGCCCUGAGUGCGCGUCCGGGGAUACCAUCAGGACCAGCAGCCUUUAUUGUAAUAUUGCGGGGAGAGAGAGGGAGAGCGAGGUAGGAGGCGGACGAUGGAGCACUAGAGCGGAGGACCGGAGGACAGGUGAGGGGUCAGGAACUGAGAGGAGCCCCGGCUGGGGAGCGGGGAGGAGACACUGGCACACGGAGGAGCGGAGAGGAGGCUGGUGAAGAGCGGCCGAAGAGCGGAUGCUGAUACGAGAAGAGGGCGCCGAGGGAGAGGGUCCGGAGCCAGCUGACCGGAGGAGAGGAUUACUGAAAAGUAGAGCAAGGAAGCCGAAAAGAUGACGAAGCUGCAGGCAUUGGAGAGGUCACUGAGAAGUUAGAAGAGCUUGUGCUGGCAUCCCAGAGCCUUCCAGAUAUCACUGCAGCAAUCAGAGAGCUCACCAACCUGGCUGCCACUCAGAGAGUCAUCCUGAAUCAUCCACAGCUACAGACCAUCAAGCAAGGACUCUGCUGUGUUGUUUGUAUAACUAAGUAUGCAAUAGAUAUUGUCCCACAUGAAAGAUAAUUCUGGAUCUAUUUUAUUUUUUGUGUGACAGAAUUUGAGAUUUCCAAAUACAAAUCAUUUUUACAUUCUCUACCCAAGAUCAGCUGUCUCAUCCACAACAAUUAACUGCAUCUACUGAUGCAAACCUUUUUGUACCAGCUCAUAGUGUAAUGUUACAAAAACAAAGUGUAAUGUUUAAGCACUAAAGUUGUACACUUGUUUAGUAAAAAUAAAACACUGUCAUCCAAUACAUGAAGAAAACUUUGAGGACAGACGGGAUAAAUGAGAAAGACAAAUAUUUUCUUUUUUAGAGUUCAUCGAGGAGCCCGUCUUCACACUGUGUUGUCGAAGCAUUAUUGGUUGCACAACAUGUGUGGAACAGUGGCAGGAGACGUCUGUGCACUGUGCAAAAUGCAGAGAGAACUGGCUCUGGCUGCUUGCUUCUAUAGCUUCCUACAUCUGCCACGCAAAUAGGAGUAGAACAGCCAAAGAAUCAUGGGUAAUUUACACAACUGGCUGAUGCUUACAGACCAAGAGAGAACGUUGUACAAGGGAACAGCACAUAAGUCUGACAUUUUAUUCAACAGAGCAGGUUUCACAGCAUGACCGUACUUUGAAAACCACUUUAAGUAAG